rnacentral:lncRNA from 1 species
CAUCAUCACUCUCUAAUCUCUCCUUAUUCCUUUUCUCUCUCAUGAAUUUCUUCAAAUCCGUUUUCUCCGACAAUUCAGAUCCAUUAUCGAAACCUACCGUCGCGAUUCCGAUAAUAGCACUGCCACUUCGAAUCGCCAUUCAAAUCGAUUGGAUUCAAAGUGGAAUAAUAGGUUUGAUGCUCAGUUUUGUGCAAUUCAUGGAGAAGUCUCAUCUUCAAUUCUUCUUCCUUCCUUCUGUUUGUGUUUUCUUACGACCUGGAGUAUUUUGCUUUUGGUAUGGUUUUGGGUUGCAGGUUAUUGUGUGCUGAGAAAGAAGAACACAUAAACAGCUUAUCAAUUUCUAGUCACUGCUUAUUUUCUUCUUUUUCUGGAUUGUAUAAUUGAAUGAAUUUGCAGGUUCACUUAAAUAAGAUCCCUAAAAAAAAUCUAAAAGGGUUUGUGAGAUACAUCUAAAACAGAGAGAGAAAUUCAGGUCUAAUUUGAAGAAAUUUUGGAACCAAAUUCGAAUCUAAGAAAGUUCCUUCAAGGUUAAUGGUGACUGUGAAUGUGAAUCGAACCAUAACAAUUGAAACUAAAAUUUCUGAACUCUGUGAGUGUGAAUCUAUAUUUUUCUAAAGGCAGUAUGUAACUAUUCUUGCUUUGCGUUUUUAUUCAAUUUUCAUGAGUUUAGGAUUUGGAACUAUUGUAUGUUAGUUUAGUAACUGAGAUGUUGGGCAUGAAAUAUGGUCAAUCCACAUAAUCACA